UCGGGUAUGGUCUAGAGGUAACAUCGCUGACUCUCAUCACAUGAGUCACGCAGAAGCCUGGCCCGGGGGUCGACUCCCCAUAUCCGAG